CACGGAGUUAGCCGAUCCUUAUUCGUACGAUACCGUCAAACCAAUACACGUAAAGGUGUUUCUUCUCGUACAAAAGCAGUUUACAACCCAUAAGGCAGUCUUCCUGCACGCGGCAUGGCUGGAUCAGGCUCUCGCCCAUUGUCCAAUAUUCCUCACUGCUGCCUCCCGUAGGAGUCUGGUCCGUGUCUCAGUACCAGUGUGGGGGAUACCCCUCUCAGGGCCCCUACCCAUCAUAGCUUUGGUGAGCCGUUACCUCACCAACUGGCUAAUGGGACGCACGCUCAUCUUGUACCGAUAAAUCUUUAAUUAAUAACCAAUGCUGAUCAAUAAUACUAUGGGGUAUUAAUCCAAGUUUCCCUGGGCUAUCCCCCUGUACAAGGUAGAUUGCGUACGUCGAUACUCACCCAUCCGCCGGUCUCUAAUUGCCGAAGCAAUUAGUACCCCUCGACUUGCAUGUGUUAAGCCUGCCGCUAGCGUUCAUCCCUGUAGCCCGAAGGAUCAAAACUCUA
rnacentral:rRNA from 1 species